CUCCGCCGCCGCCGCCCCCUCCCCUUCCAACGGAGGAGGAGAUCCAGGCGGAGCGCGCCAUCUCCAUCGCCACGGCCCCCGGCCUUCGUCGAGCCGCUCGUCAUCUUCCUCGUCCUCGUCGUCAACGCCGCCGCCGGCGUCUGGCAGGUGGACUCCGGCGGCUCCUCUUCAUCUUCUUCCUCGUCCCCACGCGCGGCUCCACUUCCCGCUGGCCAUGGGGUGCAGCCUUAAGGGGCACAUCGGGCUGGGCAUCCUCUGUUUCUGAGUGCACGGGGCCGUUCGAGGCGCACUUGUGGAAUAAGAACACAUGCACAGAGCCGCAGAGGAAGUAGAAAGGGAGGCAAGUUUAUUUCGGUGAGCAGAGCACCCUCUUUCAGUCUAUAUUUCGGUGUCCAAGUACAGAGGCUUCGCAAGGCAUCACCACAACGGCAAAUGGGAAUCUAGGAUUGGGCGUGUGUUUGGCAAUAAGUAUCUCUACCUAGGUACCUAUGGUUGAUUCUAUAACUCCAUAGGCUUAAACCAGAGCAGCGGAAGAACAAGUUGUAUGUUUGUCGAGGUGCUCUCAUAUUUAUUUGACAUGAUAAAGCAUGGACCUUCUUGCUCAGGUUUCAGAUUUCUCAAUCCAUACUUUCGUGCAAGUAUCAAUUCUUGACUGGUUGUUCAGUAACCAUGCACGUUUUCAUUUUCUAUCUAUAUCAUCAGUAUUGAAGUUCAUAUGCUAAACCUUAUAUUAUUGGCUUUAGAACAUUGCAAAUCAGGGUAGGCGGUGCAUUUGGGAAAUUCAUAUUCUAUUCAUAGGCACUUCGUUAAUACAGUCAAAUGCUUCACGGUUGAAUAUGCUACUUCAUUUUUUAGGUGUCCUAAGGUUUCAUAAUUCGUUGUAUUAUCUAAAGCAGCAUGUUUUAUCAUUUUAGUUUGCAUUGCGCCAAUCACAAACCACAAAAAAUACACACGCUCACCCAGUCACCCUUUGUAGGUUGUUAGAGCACACUCUGAAUUCUACCAAUUUCUUUCCAUGGCUUAUAUGUGACCAAAUGCUCCAGAUUAUAUAUGAAAUACUCCUGUUUACACAAGCUUAACUUUUCCCUGUGAUUGGAUACAUCACAUUCUUACAUCUAAAAUAAGAAAAUAGCUACAACACAUUGAGGCAAAAGGCAAAUGUACAUGCUCCUUACACUUAUCAGAAACAUUUUCCAGGGAGUUCCUUUUUAAUGUUUCUCAUCUGAAAUUGGAUUCAUAAUAAUGACAUUCUUACAUCUCAAAUGAAAGGAUCCAUUCUAUAGAAAUAAAUUGCUUUAAUUCACAUUCUUACAUUUCCAGACUAGAGAGGUUGUAUGUGAUGAGUGAUCGGUUGUUUUCUGGAUUAACAUGUGAAUUUCCAACUUGACCGACAUAGUGUUCGAGUAGAGCUAGGGUGGUUUCAGGCCUCUGCUUCUGGUUAUUACAAGCUAGGUAUUAUUGUGGCAGUGAUCGGAAACUUAUACAUGACCCAUCACCAUCAUGUCCAUGCCCCAGACUUGGGUGAGCGCUCAAGGAAGAAAUUUGUAGUUCCACUGUUGGAUUCCAAGCAGGCAAUUCAUGAUCAGCCUUGCGCAAGCUAUGGAGUUUCAAGAAAUCGAUUGACAGGUGGAGUGACUGCUGGGGUCAUAAACGAAGAAACAAUCAAGUCACUGGACAGCAAAACAGAUUAUUUAUUCCCAAUGUCGUUGCUCUUUCAAAAUUGCAGGCCUAUUGGUUAUGUGGUGGUUAUGCUGGUUUUAUCUUCCGGUUGGUUGUUAGUCCCCUACAAGAGUUUUCACAAUAUGAAAAGGCUCCAAAAGGUGUCACGGUCAGGAAUCUUUUUUCCAGGCAUCCGGUGAUGAUCAGGUAACCAAACCAUAUCACAGGAUGUUUGUUUGUGUGGUCUGCCAAAGUAAUGCUCUUCUUUUGUGGUAUGUGGAAAGUAAUGCUCUCUUUGUUAUUCAUUUUUGGAGCCGUUAAAUAUUUUUUUCCUCAUAAUAGUUUUAGAUGUUAUGCCUUAGCAUAUUAUAUCAACGAGAAGUGAACGUGUCUUAGCUCGUAUUUUCUAAAUUAGUGUCUUCCGGCGCGCACUGAGUAUUGCCUCGGCUACAACCUCCCUCGGUGAGCUCCAUCUUCCUCCUGUUCCUCUGCUUUGGCUACUGUAUGUGACAUCCAGAAAUAAGAGAAGAAGGCUCCUACAAGAUCUCUCAGAGCUUAGGCACUCUCAGCCGUCGGAUCGUUUCCCUUGAUGCGUUCUCGUCCGUCCGAUCGAGCUCUGGAGAAGCCUGGGCCGUUGGAUCUGGGACAAACACUGCUGGAAUGAAUAGUUUCACUCCGUUUCGUUCCACCGCGCAUUAUUUUGGUGCCCCGCCGAGGGUAUUCUCAUCAUUUUGCUUUGUCUGUGGCGGUGGCUUUCGUGCUAGGGCGAUGAUGAUUAACUGUGGCUGAAAUAAGUGUGCCUUUGAGCAAUCGAGGUACCUGUGGGUAUCAAGUUGGAUCCUCCCUGUUGUCUCUAGAAUCCUUUUUAAUCCUGUGAUACCUAUUGAUCUGUCCUUGGAUGGUCAUUCUUGUUGAUUGAUAACCAGGGCAGCUCCAUUGUAUAAACAGAUUGAUCUGGUGAUAAGAGAUGAUGGGGGUAGGUUAUAUGAUCAAGGAAAGGCGAAUCUGAGCCCACUAUGCAAUGAACAUCAAACCCUUUUUAUUUGUAUUUAAAGGCGUUGCUUACUUAUGCUCCAGUGUUUAUAGCCGUCUUGUGUAAAGAUUUAUUCUCACUUAUAACUUUAUUGCAUAUAAGUUGUUCUUGAUCUUUUAUUGUUCGUCAUUGGUCCUUGAUUUAGUCUGGUUAGGAACUCUUCUGUCUCUUAUGUAAAGAUUUCUUCUCUCUCAUACCAAUGUUUGUCCAUGUAGUAACAGAUAUAUAUUUCAAGCAUGACAUGAAUAAACCUGAAUGGUCUUUGAGAUGAGAUGCAUGGUUGUACAAUAUAGGGUACUAAGUUAGAGAUCGGCUGUCCCUAUGAAUGCAAACUAUUGUCAGCUAUAAACAUGUUUGCCUCCUAUAGUGUUUGGCCUAAUUAGUUAUUGGGUUGAUUUUGGUAGUUCUACUUUUUUGUUGCCAACAAUAUGCAAGUUAAUGUUCAGGGUGUGCUUUGGCCUUGGGAUUCUUUACUGUUUUUAUUCUAGAUGUGGUGGUCUUAUUAGUCAGGGUGUGCUCUGAACAAAGACAUGUAUAGACUUUAGAUUUUAAUGCCUAUCUCUGUCAUACAAAGUAAUGCAUGGUCCUGUGUUUUAUCUCUGGUCGUAUGAAAGCACCGAGCUUGAUUCUGCCUUAUAACCUGAUGUCAUCUUCAGUCUCAUUAUGUUUUGCUUUUAACACAAUUGGUUGUCUGCACAUGCUGUACUUGGGUUCCUACCGACAAAUUGUUACAUGCUUUGUAAAAAUGUUGUGACCGGCACCCUUGCGCCAAGGCACGAACCCCCGUGCCUCGCGCUUCUGGCAGCUCCUGGAGGUCGUCGUGCCCUACUCCAGGGCCUCCAUGGCACAACUACUCGGCAAGUUGCCCCUGCAGUUCAGGGGCAAGCAGGUCAUAGAGGACAUGGCACUGGCUAUGUUCAACCGUGCCCUGAAGCUUUCUGGACCAGGUCUACAAGUCAUGGGUGUUGGAUUUACUGGGUCACUCGCUAGCUCACACCCAAAACAUGGUGACCACAGGAUGGAAAUGUUCCUUGGCACCAUGACGAACAUCAACUUAGGAACAACCUUUUUAUUUUAUUUUCUGUUGCCUAAAUGAUUACAUUAUCCUUUUCUAACCUGUUGGUGUUAGAGACAUCUUAGCAUUCAGGCAGGUUUAGUUCAUUGUUUAUUAAUUCCUAUUAUGUAAAAAAAAUCACUGAUCAUCGCUUGACAGAAAAUGUUUUGAUAUGCAA